UCGCGGAGCACGGGCCCUAGAGCGUGGGUAGUUACAGCCCACAGGCUUAGCUACCCUGCAGCAUGUGGGGUCUUAGUUCCCAGACCAGGGAUCGAACCCAUUUCCGCUACAUUGGAAGGCGAAUUCGUAACCACUGGACCACCAGCGGAGUCCCCUACAUAGCUCUUAAAUCAUUAACUUCUCUCCAUGUCUUCAGCCACCACUCCCCAAAACUGACUGACCACACAAGUAGGCAGAGCUGCCAAGCUUAAUGUUUCUCAGCAGCUGGAGCCUCAGUGGGCACGACCUUACGUUGCCAGGUGGGUCAGCACUUCGUGGCAAUGGGGGCCUGCAUGUGGGUGCCACCCAGCCACCCUCCAUAAGCCACAGACCGUGACCCAGAAUGCCACACUGCUGUGGUGUUUGGAAAACCCACCAGGAACUUGGGUAUUACACCCAGUUCACACCUCUUGCAGUCAUAGAAGGCAUGCGUGCGUGCUCAGUCAUGUCCAACUCUUUACGGCCCCAUGAACUGUAGUCCGCCAGGCUCCUCUGUCCGUGGGGUUUUUCAGCCAAGAACACUGGAAUGAGUUGCCAUUUCCUCCACCGAGGAAUGACCCAAUUCCUGACUCAGGAAUUGAACCCACGUCUCCCCCAUCCCCUGCACUGCUGGUGGAUCCUUUACCUGCUGAGCCUUUGAGGGGAGCCCCCGUAGAAGGCAAGCAUGGUGUGAUUUCAGAAUGAGGUGUUUAGGAGAGUAAGAGUUUCCUACUUAGGGCUCCUCUCAAGUCAGAAAGCCCCUACCCUGGACUCACAGGAUGCUGUCCCCAUUAACCCAAAUGUGUCUCCUGGGAGGAAGUUCGAGGCUGAGGCUCACUCACCAAACAUCUUCCUGGGCCUUUCCUGGCCUCUGCAGGAUCAUUUCACACAGGCCCAGGACGCCAGCAAGCCAGGGGCACCAAACAAGUAUGAGAGCAGACAGACUAGAAUCUUGCAGCCAUCAGAUCCAGAAAGAUGCUGUUUACAACAAACAUUAGGUCUGAAUCUCUGACAGGAGCCUAACCUGGAAUUCUGGUCUAGGAGGGGGAUGCAGGGAAGAGAGAGAUGGGGCCCUUCUCUGCCAAACCCUGCCCACAGCAGCCAGGCCUGUCUCCUAGGACCCACUAUUGACUGCAGGAGGCGGGCUGUGAGCACUGAGAAGCUGCCAGGCAUCCCGUGACAGACGUACACGGUGGGACCCGCAGACCCGAAGGAAGGAAGGAGGGAGCUGGUCUGAACAGAGACCAAAAAUACCGAUGCUCAAGUGCGCAUACUGAAAGAUAAAGAAGAGGGGUUUGCCAGGCAGACUGGAUGGACAGACAACCGCGGAAAGGCCUUGUAUGGGGAGGGUUUGGAGUACAACUGGGGCAGGGUGGGCAGGGCCCACUGGGAUGUGGCUGCAGUGACAGGCAGGAGCCUGCCCACGGAGGGUUUGGACCACACCCGCCUGCUCCGAUGUUAUACAGAGGGGUGCCCAGAGGACUGGGCAGAGGGACCGGUCAGAUGUGUGUAAAGAAGCUUAAGGGGCUGCUUCUGGUGGCCCAGUGGUUAAGAAUCUGCCUUCCAAUGCGGGGGACGUGGGUUCAGUCCCUGGUCAGGGAACUGAGAUCCCACAUGUCUCAGAGCAACUAAGCCUGAGUACUACAACUACUGAGCCCACGCACCCUGGAGCCUGUGUGCCGCCUCUAGAGAGUCCAUGCAUUGCAACGAAAGACUCCACGUGAUGCAGGGAAGAUACCACAUGCUGCAGACAGGACCGCACUCAGCCAAACAGACAAAGAAACUUAAAAAGGAGCUUGGACAUCACAGACUUAGAGAAGGAGCUUAUGGUUGCCAGGUGGAAGGAUCGGGGGAAGGGAUAAUUAGGGGGUUUGGGAUGGACAUGUGCACACUGCUGUAUUCAAAAUGGAUCACCAACAAGGACCUACUGUGUAGUACAGGGAACACAGCUCAAUGUUAUGUGGCAGCCUGCAUGGAAGGGGAGUUUGGGGGAGAAUGCGUACAUGUGUAUGUACGACUGAGUCCCUUUGCUGUCCACCCAAAACUAUCACAACUGUUAACUGGCUGUAUGACGACAUAAAAUAAAUAAUACAAAAAAUAAAAAUUAAAGAGGCUUGG